CCUACGGGAGGCAGCAGUGAGGAAUAUUGGUCAAUGGUCGGAAGUCUGAACCAGCCAUGCCGCGUGCAGGAAGACGGCUCUAUGUAUUGUAAACUGCUUUUGUCAAAGGGUAAACAUGAAUACGUGUCUUCAACUGAGAGUACCUGAAGAAUAAGGAUCGGCUAACUCCGUGCCAGCAGCCGCGGUAAUACGGAGGAUCCAAGCGUUAUCCGGAUUUAUUGGGUUUAAAGGGUGCGCAGGCGGAUUGAUAAGUUAGCGGUGAAAUGUCCGGGCUUAACCCGGGAACUGCCUCUAAUACUGUUGAUCUAGAGAUGGAGUGCGGUAGGCGGAAUGUGUGGUGUAGAGGUGAAAUGCUUAGAGAUCGUACAGAACACCGAUUGCGAAGGCAGCAUGCCAGUCUAUAACUGACGUUGAGGCACGAAAGCGUGGGUAGCGAACAGGAUUAGAUACCCGAGUAGUC
rnacentral:rRNA from 1 species